rnacentral:rRNA from 1 species
AUACGAAGGGGGCUAGCGUUGUUCGGAUUUACUGGGCGUAAAGCGCACGUAGGCGGACUUUUAAGUCAGGGGUGAAAAUCCCGGGGCUCAACCCCGGAACUGCCUUUGAUACUGGAAGUCUUGAGUAUGGAAGAGGUGAGUGGAAUUGCGAGUGUAGAGGUGAAAUUCGUAGAUAUUCGCAGGAACACCAGUGGCGAAGGCGGCUCACUGGUCCAUUACUGACGCUGAGGUGCGAAAGCGUGGGGAGC